UACAGAGGUCCCAAGCGUUGUCCGGAUUUACUGGGCGUAAAGGGUGCGUAGGUGGCGGGGUAAGUCUGGUGUGAAAGCUCCGAGCUCAACUCGGAAAAGCAUUGGAAACUAUCCCGCUUGAGGGUCGGAGGGGAGACUGGAAUUCUCGGUGUAGCAGUGAAAUGCGUAGAUAUCGAGAGGAACACCAGUGGCGAAGGCGACUACCUGGCCUGUUCUUGACGCUGAGGCGCGAAAGCCAGGGGAGCAAACGGG
rnacentral:rRNA from 1 species